ensembl:snRNA U5 U5 spliceosomal RNA
ACACUCAUGUUUCUCUUCAUAUCGAAUAAGUCUUUCGCCUUUUACUAAAGAUUUCCAUGGAGAGGAACACCUUGAGUAUUUACUAAUUUUUUGAUGUCCUGGUUCAAUGUAGGAUU